rnacentral:lncRNA from 1 species
GAUUUCCUAAAUUUGAAAUUUUCAUGUUUAUGAGUAUAAGGAAACCCUACUUCAUUGGAAAAUUUAUCUUUGGCUUUAGUUAGUGUUAUCAUGAAAGGUAACUCUAACUCAAGCUUUUGAUUGCCAUGUGUUAAAAAUUGAAACUUUUGAAAAUGUUUAAUGGCAAUUUCUUGGAAAGAAAAGGUAAAGUUAAAACAUUUAAUAACAAAUGGAAAAAAUUGAAAAGAUAGAAAACCUCCCCUUAAAAGUUUGGGUUGUAGAAUAGGAGAUGUUGCCAUCAAUUUCUUUCCUUCCAUUUUCUUCCUUGCAAUGUCUUCCUUCUCUUUCUUUUGGAGUCUCUCUUCCUCUUCUCUCUUUUAUUCCUCUCCCUUUCUAGCUUUCUCUCUUCUUAUUCCCUCUUUUUCUUCCUCUUCUCUCCUCUCUUCUCCUUCCUUUCUUUCUUUCGCUCUUCUUAUUUUCUCUGUUUCUUCCUCUUGUCUUCUCACUUGUUCUCUUCUCGCUCUUUCUUCCUCUUCUUUUCUCUCUUUCUCUCUCUUUCUCUUCUUCUUUCUUCUUCACAUUGUCUCUCUUUUCUUCUCUCUUGUCUCUCUAUUCUUUCUUGUAAUUCUCUACAUUUUCUCUCUAAGUCUCUUUUACUUCCCUCAUUCAAGAACUUCAUAAGUUUAUCUCUAAAUUCUCUUUCCUGACAAUAAAACCCACUUAAAAUUUUAAUAAAUGAUCUACCCUUUUGAAUGAGUUCUCUUAAAAACUCUUAAUUUCUUUGAUUCUUUUGUUCCUCUUGCAUGACUCUAAGUUCAUUUUGGAUAAUUGAGGUUUACACCUCCCUAUUAAGCCUAUCUUGAUUCAAGCUCUCUUUCAAAUUUCCAAUCUGUUUCAUUAUUUCCCUAAGAGUAUGUUGAUUCUCAAAUUCACUAAUGCUAGACAUCCUUUGUUCUUAAUAGUUCUUCUAAUCUAAAGAGUUUAAAGAUUUCACACUUGACAAAUCCCAGGUAAGAGAGGUGAACCACAAGGGUUGCUUUAGUACCAAGUCUUGCCUUAGCCAGAUUUGUCUUAUGCUACUCAUUAGAUACCCUUUAAAGUAAAAUUACUUCUAACAACAAAGCAUACAUGACUCACACACAAACAAAAACAAGCGGACUCUAAACAUACUCUAACUAUCCUAUGCCCCUAAAUGAAACACAAACUAAAGCAAUGUGAAAAUCUACUCCUAUGGU